rnacentral:rRNA from 1 species
UACGGAGGAUCCAAGCGUUAUCCGGAUUUAUUGGGUUUAAAGGGUGCGUAGGCGGCUUAUUAAGUCAGAGGUGAAAUACGGUGGCUCAACCAUCGCAGUGCCUUUGAUACUGAUAAGCUUGAAUGAUGUUGAAGAUGGCGGAAUGAGACAAGUAGCGGUGAAAUGCAUAGAUAUGUCUCAGAACCCCGAUUGCGAAGGCAGCUAUCUAAGCAUUUAUUGACGCUGAUGCACGAAAGCGUGGGGAUCAAAC